UACGGAGGGUGCAAGCGUUGUCCGGAUUCAUUGGGUUUAAAGGGUGCGUAGGCGGCCUUGUAAGUCAGUGCUGAAAUAUCCCGGCUUAACCGGGAGGGUGGCAUUGAUACUGCAGGGCUUGAGUAAAGUUGAGGUUGGCGGAAUUGACGGUGUAGCGGUGAAAUGCUUAGAUAUCGUCAAGAACACCGAUAGUGAAGACAGCUAACUAAGCUUUAACUGACGCUGAGGCACGAAAGUGUGGGGAUCAAACAGG
rnacentral:rRNA from 1 species